CGCGUAGGCGGCCUGGUAAGUCUCACUGUGAAAGCCCGGGGCUCAACCCCGGGAGGCCAGGGGAUACUGUCAGGCUGGAGACAGGCAGAGGCUGGUGGAAUUCCGGGUGUAGCGGUGGAAUGCGUAGAGAUCCGGAGGAACACCGGAGGCGAAGGCGGCCAGCUGGGCCUGAUCUGACGCUGAGGUGCGAAAGCGUGGGGAGCGAACA
rnacentral:rRNA from 1 species